rnacentral:lncRNA from 1 species
CGAAGAAUCCCCUCACCGUCAAAUCUGAACUCUGCACUGUUGCCAGACUGAACAGUCCUGGCAAUUUUCACUAACUCGGGGUCUUCGUGCUGUUUCAGAGCCACUUGCUCUAGAAACACUGGUGUCACUCUCAUCUGUGCGAUCAAAGCACCUGUACCAGAUAACUGCAACUGUAACCCUUCUUCCACGAGCUUGUAGAAAUCCUUCACCACCGGUCUUCU